AAAGCUUACUUCACAGGAUCAUUUCUGUAGUAAGUUUUU
rnacentral:snoRNA from 1 species